rnacentral:rRNA from 1 species
CGCCCAACAGCUAGCCUCUCCAACCAAAACCAACAAACCCCCAUCAAUACCCCCUAAUACCCAUAAACCCCUCCCAAAACAAAUCAUUUUUCCCCCUUAG